AGAUUAAAGUUAUUAAAAAUAAAAUUAUCCCAGAAAAAUAAUUAAAAUGGCCUUAUUACAACCCAAAACCAAACAAUAAUAUUAAUAAGAUAAAACUUAUAAAGAAAUAAAUCAGCUACUUAUUGCAAUUAAAAGAAACAGAAACAGUAGUGUGGCCAUCUCCGAGUCCCUCGCAGCUCCAAACCAUCUAAUCUUAGGGAUUACUUGCACAAUUAGAAACGGGGUGAGUUUACGAAAACUCAGUGUGUAAUCCCAAUAACAAACAAACAGUGAAAACACAGUAUCAGUACAAUCUGGGUCAAAGCCCUAUUCAGUCUUGACAUAUACUGGGCCGAAGCCUUUCGUUUAAUGAUUACUGGGCCGAAGCCUUUUCAUAAAUCAUAUCACUGGGCCAAAGCCUUUUCAUAAAUCAUUUCACUGGGCUGAAGCCUUUACUGUAAACGGUAUGGCCUAUAGGCCCAUUUCAAUAUCACAUGUAAUGUCAAUGGAUGUAUGCAAGCCCAUUUCAAUAUCACAUGAAAUACCAAUGAAUGUAUGCAAGCCCAUUUGGGGAGACUACUCAACCCACCAUCCGCUACUCUCCACCCGUACCAACCAACACACCAUGUGGGGAAUAACUCAACCCACCCAACCAACACACCACUGGCAGCAUAGCUGCUUUAUCAUAUAUCUGGAGGCCUAGCCUCUUUAAUAACUGGGGCAAAGCCCUUUUCGGUAAACUGGGGCAUAAACCCUUUUCAAUAAACUGGGGCAUAAGCCUUUUUCAAUAAACUGGGGCAUAAGCCCUUUUCGGUAAACUGGGGCAUAAGCCCUUUUGCACUUCCUCCAUCCAUAUAAAAAACCAACCCAAUGCAACAUGUCAUGUAUGCAGAAUGUCAUACCCAUAUUUGAAUUAAACAAUCACAGUCAAGUCAUUCAUAUCACCAACAUAUAUUCACAAUCAAAUCCGUCAACCACACAGUCCAAGUCAGUCACUUGCCCACAAAGGCACAACAGUCAUUUUUCACAUUAUAAGGGUAUUGUCGUAAUUUUACCAAAUAUCAGGGUUUUCCAUGUUCAUUACAAUUAUCAAUAUUUCCGAGUGUUUAAACAAUGAUCUUUAACCCACUUUAUCAAAUUCGGGCUUUUGGGCCCAAAACCCCUAAUGGGCCCUACGAAUGCUGAUUUAGCCUACUUCACCCAAAUUUUACAACAAUACUAACCGUGUUAACGUGCAACUUUUCCAAAUUCCAUUUUCUAUCAAUUCUACCCAAAUGGGUUCGAAAGCCCAUUGGGCCCAAUUUCAGCCCAUUGAGGACCAACUUGCCAUCGUGCACAAAAUUGAGUUCUUACCUGUUCCAUCGAUCCAAACACCGAUCUUAUCGUAUUUAUCGCAUCUAUACCCAAACGCAACAUUACAAGUUCUCAAAAUAUCGGUAUUUUAGCAUUCCGGCUUCUCAGCAAAUAUUAAUCUAAGCUAUUACGAGGGUUAGUACACACCUGUUACGGGUUGAAGUUGAAACGUUUCCAAAAUCAAUCGCCUACGGUAACCACCACCUGUCACUCAAACUUAACUAAUCCAAUAUCAAUAUAUGUAAAUCCUAAGCACAUCAGUCAUACGGAACAUAAGGGCAUAUUCGUCAUUUUACCAUACAGGGGUAUUACGUUCACUUUACCCUACAGGGGCUUUACGGUCACUUUACCCUACAGGGGCUUUACGGUCUUUUUACCUAAUAGGGGUAUUUUAGUCAUUUCAUCCUACAAAGGUGUUUUGGUACAUCUACAAACCAAAGGUAUUUCAGUAAUUUUGUAAACCAAUGGUAUUUCUAUAAUUUUUAUAAAGUCAAGGGUAUUUCUGUAACUUUGUAAAUCAGGGGUAUUUUGGUAAUUUUACAAAUUGAGGGUAUUUCAGUAAUUUCACAAACCAAGGGUAUUUUGGUAAUUUUACAAACCAAGGGUAUUUUAGUAAUUUUGUAAAUCGAGGGUAAAACAGUAAUUCUGUAAAUCAAGGGUAAAACAGUAAUUCUAUAAAUCGAGGGUAAAACGGUAAUUCUGUAAAUUGAGGGUAAAACGGUAAUUCUAUAAGUCGAGGGUAAAACGAUAAUUAUAUAAAUCAGGGGUAAAACAGUAAUUAUGUAAAUCAGGGGGUACUUUGGUAAUUUUACAAGUCGAAGGUAUUUCAAUAAUUUUACAAAUCGAGGGUAUUUCAGUAUUUUUACAAACUGAGGGUAUUUUGGUAAUUUUAGUAAACUAAAGUAUUCUAAACAGGAAUAACAAUACGGAUGGGCCUAAAGCCUAUUCUCGGCCCAAAUGGGCCCACACGCUCGUGUGGCCCUUUUAGCCCAAAUCUAGCCACAGAUAUGAGAUUCACCUAGCCUAGUCUAAUAUUUACUACACAAUCAAACAACUUAUCCAAUUGGGCCCACAUGGCCCCUUUCGGCCCGAAGUAGCCAUCCUAUAGCUAGAGUAGUGAGAAAUACACACCUGAUAGGAGACUGGAGUUAAUCCACGCUCCGAGCACUCUUAGCCGACCGCCAACCCAAACGAGCACGCCAUACAGCGAAAGGGAUCAGCCAAGAAAGGUAC
rnacentral:lncRNA from 1 species